UGGGGAAUUUUGCACAAUGGGGGAAACCCUGAUGCAGCGACGCCGCGUGUUUUAGAAGGCCUUCGGGUUGUAAAAAUCUUUUCUAUGGGAAGAAAAUGACAGUACAAUAGGAAUAAGGACCGGCUAAUUCCGUGCCAGCAGCCGCGGUAAUACGUAAGGUCCGAGCGUUGUCCGGAAUCAUUGGGCGUAAAGGGUACGUAGGCGGGUAAGCAAGUUAGAAGUGAAAUCCUAUAGCUCAACUAUAGUAAGCUUUUAAAACUGCUCAUCUUGAGGUAUGGAAGGGAAAGUGGAAUUCCUAGUGUAGCGGUGAAAUGCGCAGAUAUUAGGAGGAAUACCGGUGGCGAAGGCGACUUUCUGGCCAUAACCUGACGCUGAGGUACGAAAGCGUGGGUAGCAAACAGG
rnacentral:rRNA from 1 species